CCUGCUGCCUGUGUUUCUUCAGCCUUCGGGCAAGCCUCGGCCACCUGCCUCCCCAAGCUCACCUGCACACGCACCUCUGUGCUGCAGCCUGAGCCUCGCUGGCCCACCUGGGAGUGUCUCACUUCCUGAAUCCAUCAGGGUCAAAGCCAGCUGGCUCUAGACAGGUGCCAAAGGCCGGGCAUACUUGGAUCCCAAUCUCAGACCUUCCUCAGGCUGCGUGACCUCACCCACGCUGAGCCUCGGCAAAUAACCCAGAGCUGAGGAGAGCUUCCUGAACAUCCCUGGGAAAGAAUCAGUGCAGAAUCAAGGGUAGCUCCUGUCCCCCAAGCCGCAAGACACUUCACAAGAGCUUUAGAGUUUAUUCCCCACAUACAUACCACCCCAUGACCCCAUGACCUCUUUUUUUUUUUUUAGAUGGAGUCUCACUCUUGUCACCCAGGCUGGAGCACAGUGGCGCGAUCUCGGCUCACAGCAACCUCCGCCUUCUGGUUUCAGCAAUUCUCCUGCCUCAGCCUCCUAAGGAGAAGAUUGGGCUUUCAAGAGAGCAGAACUCAAGGCCUCAUCUCCAUCAGGGGCUGCAGCAGUGAAUUAAAAGUGCAUGCCCAGAGGAUGAGUAGCUGUGACCGCUUCUGCCAGCACUUUCGGCUGCAUCAUUAAUAAAGACAUAUUGUUGCAGAUAAAGCUCAGACCACAGCUCCUGAAACGCUUGGAAUCUCCAAAGUGAUAUCUUUUUGCAUGUGAAUGAUUCACGGAGGGCCGGCAGCCGCUGGGUAGCUUCAGGAUGGGACGGGUCAAUGGAAAGACCAAGGCGGGAUCCAUCCUGGGGAGAGGAGAGAGACGCGGUUAAGUUGCUCACCGGUGACACUGCAGUCAUUUCAUCAAUCAUAUCUCCAUAAUGAAGCCUCCAUAAAAACACAAACAGACAGGUUCUGGGAGCUGAAUACAUGAAGGUUCCUGGAGGGCAGUGCCCCCCAGGAGGGCAGGGAAGCUCCCCACCCCUUCCCCAUCACUUACCCUGUGCAUCACUUCAGCUGUAACCUUUUUCGUAUCUCUUGCAAUAA